rnacentral:lncRNA from 1 species
GAAAAAUCCCAACUGAACUCCACUCGGGGAAUUCCUGCCAGGAACAUGAUGGUGCUGAGGGAGGGUUGGGUCGGGUAGGGGAACGAUCAGCUGAUGCUGAACAGGAAGCUGUGCUGCUCUCCCAUUGGCUGCUGUAGAAUCAUCAGGUCAGCUGUAAACACACGCCUCUUUGAAUAUGAAGGAGGCUCCACAGGAAUGUAGUGCUGAAGUCCACAGUGCAGACGUCAGGGUUGGAGACGCAUUCCAGUGAUUCC